rnacentral:rRNA from 1 species
UACCGAGUGAGGGCCCUCUGGGUCCAACCUCCCACCCGUGUUUAUUUUACCUUGUUGCUUCGGCGGGCCCGCCUUAACUGGCCGCCGGGGGGCUUACGCCCCCGGGCCCGCGCCCGCCGAAGACACCCUCGAACUCUGUCUGAAGAUUGUAGUCUGAGUGAAAAUAUAAAUUAUUUAAAACUUUCAACAACGGAUCUCUUGGUUCCGGCAUCGAUGAAGAACGCAGCGAAAUGCGAUACGUAAUGUGAAUUGCAAAUUCAGUGAAUCAUCGAGUCUUUGAACGCACAUUGCGCCCCCUGGUAUUCCGGGGGGCAUGCCUGUCCGAGCGUCAUUUCUGCCCUCAAGCACGGCUUGUGUGUUGGGCCCCGUCCUCCGAUCCCGGGGGACGGGCCCGAAAGGCAGCGGCGGCACCGCGUCCGGUCCUCGAGCGUAUGGGGCUUUGUCACCCGCUCUGUAGGCCCGGCCGGCGCUUGCCGAUCAACCCAAAUUUUUAUCCAGGUUGACCUCGGAUCAGGUAGGGAUACCCGCUGAACUUAAGCAUAUCAAUAA